UACAUAGGGUGCAAGCGUUAAUCGGAAUUACUGGGCGUAAAGCGUGCGCAGGCGGUUUUGUAAGUCUGUCGUGAAAGCCCCGGGCUCAACCUGGGAAUUGCGAUGGAGACUGCAAGGCUUGAAUCUGGCAGAGGGGGGUAGAAUUCCACGUGUAGCAGUGAAAUGCGUAGAGAUGUGGAGGAAUACCGAUGGCGAAGGCAGCCCCCUGGGAUAACACUGACGCUCAUGCACGAAAGCGUGGGGAGCAAACAGG
rnacentral:rRNA from 1 species